rnacentral:pre_miRNA from 15 species
CUUAGGCUUUGCAGGCUGUGGCCCCAGAGGCGGGGUUUUGAGGGCAAGAUGAGUUUUCGUGUUACCCAACUGGCCCACAAAGUCCCGCUUUUGGGGUCAUGCGAACCAUCGAGGAAUUC